rnacentral:rRNA from 1 species
UAACAUCCGGAAACGGAUGCUAAAACCGCAUAGGUCUUCGAGCCGCAUGGCUUGAAGAGGAAAAGAGGCGCAAGCUUCUGCUGAUGGAUGGACCCGCGGUGCAUUAGCUAGUCGGUGAGGUAACGGCUCACCAAGGCAGUGAUGCAUAGCCGACCUGAGAGGGUGAUCGGCCACAUUGGGACUGAGACACGGCCCAAACUCCUACGGGAGGCAGCAGUAGGGAAUCUUCCGCAAUGGACGCAAGUCUGACGGAGCAACGCCGCGUGAGUGAAGAAGGUUUUCGGAUCGUAAAACUCUGUUGUUAGAGAAGAACAAGUGCUAGAGUAACUGUUAGCG